UACGGAGGAUCCGAGCGUUAUCCGGAUUUAUUGGGCGUAAAGAGCUCGUAGGCGGUUUGUCGCGUCUGCCGUGAAAGUCCGAGGCUCAACCUCGGAUCUGCGGUGGGUACGGGCAGACUAGAGUGAUGUAGGGGAGACUGGAAUUCCUGGUGUAGCGGUGAAAUGCGCAGAUAUCAGGAGGAACACCGAUGGCGAAGGCAGGUCUCUGGGCAUUUACUGACGCUGAGGAGCGAAAGCAUGGGGAGCGAACAGG
rnacentral:rRNA from 1 species